rnacentral:lncRNA from 1 species
CUCUAUUGCCUUGCCCUUGUUGGGCCCAAGUCUCCUUUUCAGCAGUACCACCAACAGUAAGGAGUGGGCACUCACUCCUAUAGUGCCCUGUCUGCCCGCAAUGAUAACAUGACACUCCACUCCUCCUACUAGGGCCACUAAUCUGCCCACGUUGUGGGCAGUCCCUCCUGAGGUGUCCUGUCUGCCCACAACCGUGACAGGUUGCAUUAUACUGUUGCGAAAAAUCCUUGGCUGUACUGGCCACUGACUGCUGUCCCGAAUGCUGGCUCCAAGCUGGUCGUGAGCCAGACCUCCCACUGCCUGAACUGGAACCACGUCCUCCCGACCAUUCACUACCAGCAGAAUUAGAGCUGGAUCCACCCCUCUUUGAUGGACCCUGACUUGGCUCACCAAAACCUGAGGAGUCCCUGCGGCGCCUACCAAUGCCCGCUCCUAAACUGUACUUCCUGGCCACUCUAUCUGCUGCUUGAGCCAAGGCUCUCAUGGUAGGAUAUGUGUUGGCAGUUACUACUGCCUGGAUGUCUAACCACAAACCCUCCUCAAAACGGGUACACCUGUCUUCCUCUGUGGUAACCAACUCAGGUGCAAACCUGGACAGCUCAUUAAAUUUGUGCUCAUACUCCAGCACUGACAUGGAACCCUGUCUCAGAUGCAGAAACUCGGACUUCUUCUCAUUCUUGUAAGAAUGUGGGUAGAACUGGUCGAAAAACACUCUCUGAAACUCCUCCCAAGUAAGAACAGCAGGGUUAGCAUACCCUCUGCGGACUGCCUUCCACCAGUGGUAGGCAUUCCCCUUCAGAAGAAAAGCGGCCAAGCGAACCCUAUCUCUAUCAGGGCACUGAAGAACCUCAAAUAUUCGCUCGACAUCUGUAAGCCAAGCAUCAGCCUCAGCAGGAUCAGCACUACCAUGAAACUCAUUUGCCCCCAAUUCUUUAACCCUCUUAAUGUCGGAGCCUUCAGUCUUUCGUCUCCCCUGUAAAGCUGUAGACACGGUUCGGGUGAACUGAGAUAACAGGUGUCGUAAAUCGAGGUCAUUCCCUCCAUCAUGCUCUCCAGCAGGUGGAGAUGGUGGAGGUGGAGGUGAUGAAGGUGGAGAAGGUGGUGGAGAUGGAGGUGGAGGAUUUGCUCCCCAUCUCGAAAUACGACCACCCCUCGUCCUAGGACGUCUAGGAUGCAUGAUUCUACACAAAAGAAACCAUAGAAUCAUUAGUUUCAACAACGCAAC